rnacentral:sRNA from 22 species
GAAUUCAGCCCUUCUUGGGGCGUUUCCUCCCUGGACUUGGGCCGCCUGCACGCUACGUGCGGGCGGCUUCUUUCUGUGGA